rnacentral:rRNA from 1 species
UACGGAGGGAGCUAGCGUUGUUCGGAAUUACUGGGCGUAAAGCGCACGUAGGCGGCUUUGCAAGUCAGAGGUGAAAGCCUGGAGCUCAACUCCAGAAUUGCCUUUGAGACUGCAUCGCUUGAACACGGGAGAGGUGAGUGGAAUUCCGAGUGUAGAGGUGAAAUUCGUAGAUAUUCGGAGGAACACCAGUGGCGAAGGCGGCUCACUGGUCCAUUACUGACGCUGAGGUGCGAAAGCGUGGGGAGCAAACAGG